rnacentral:lncRNA from 1 species
CCACAAGGGUAAGAAUUCUGUCCAUCUCUAUUAAUAUAUUCUCUGUCUUACACAAUGAUUGUCAUACUGUAGCACUCCAUAAAUGUGAACAUGCAGAGCUUUAAAACUGAAAAUACUUCAGAACAGGGGAAGAUCUAAUUUUGUAUAGCCUAAAGGUUGUACAAUUGGAGAGAUCUUCUUUUAAAACAACUCAGAACUUCAAAUUUAAAAAUUGAAUAAGAAAAUGUUUAUUUAGAAUGAAAAGAAAUCAUUAAAAAAGAUAACUUUAAAAAAUUUUACUAGUUUACAAAUCUUUUUUUAAAUGACAGUUCCACAAACAUAACAGAAUCAAGAAAAAUAACAUCACAUUUUUAUUUGCUAAGGAUUUUAAUGUUAUUGUUAAUCCUUUCAAAGAACCAUUUUUGUCAAUUUCUGUUUUUGAUUUCAUUUGUUCUUGCUCUUAUUUUUAUUAUUUCCUUUUCCACUUAUUUUGGGUUUACUUUUCUUUUUAUAGCUUCUUAACUUGGAAACUUAGGUUACCAUUUUUAUAUUUUUUCUAAUAUAUGCAUUUAGAAUUAUAACUUUUCUCCUAAACAGUCUUUAGCUGUAUCCCAUAAAAUUUGAUAUGUAGUAUAUUUUCUAUGUUCAGUAUGAAAUAUUGAGUGCUUUCUUCCACUACAGUCUUCUGCCAUGAUGUUUUUCCUCACCUAGAACCCAGAGCAAUGGAUCUGGCUAUCUAUGACUGAAACCUCUGAAAUUGUUGCUAAGUGGCCCAAGCUGACCUCCAUCAUGCAAAAGAUGUUUUAAGGAAAGGUUGAUACAGAUUUUCUGAAGAAAGAAAAAGGUCUCUUCUCAAUAUGGCUUUGGAAAGUACUCAGAUGGAAGUGAGGUUCAAAAAUGAGCCUGAGUCCUAAGACAUCAACUCAAACUCUCCUGCAGCUCACAAAAGUAAUCCCAGUUUUCCCAAGUUGCCUCUUGCCUCAUCACUGAUACUUGUCUUCCUUAAGGCAAACUCGUUAUCUGUUACUUUUAUCAUUCUAUUUAAAAAGUAUUCUCAGCUUCUUGAAGAAGUAUCAAAAAUUAUAUAAAAGAACUAGUCCACACAGAAUUGGAAUGUGCAAGACAAUAUUCAGCCAUGAAAGAAUUGGAAGACUGAAGAAUUGGAAGUCAUUUAGUUCCCACUGCUACUUUAUUCCUACUAACUCAAAAUCUUGAAAUAAAGAGAAUUGAUUUAGGAGAACUUCACCUAAAGGAGAACUUCUCUAGAAUGGAGACUCAUCUGGUGGUGAUCAACAACAAAGAGGAGUAGGAUUUCACCAUCCAGAAUCUGUAAAUAGAUGCUGUUUACCAUGUGGGGCUGUCAGAUACAGAGAGUCAGAGACAUUGAAAGUGGAUUGUUCAGACACCAUACAACUCAAGUGCCACAUUCUGGCAUUAAGUUCAAUUGUGAGAUGAUGGAAAUCUAGUUGUGAAUCAAACAUUCUCCAUGGUCAUAUGGUUAAAUUGGCAUCCAUUGUUAUAGAGAUAGCUAAUAAGUUCCUCUUUAUGUGUAAGAGAUUCCAUAGAAUUUUAGGUAGGUGGUCAACUACUCCACUUGUGAGAAAAUUUUCCACAUAUUUACUUGUUUAUUAAUUUAUUUGCCCAUUCAUAAAAUAAGCUCUUACUUAAAAUUUUGAAAGUGCCAGAAACUAUAUAGGAAACCCCUUUUUUGUGAACACAUGGAAGACACAUGAACCUCUCUGCAAAUUUCUUUCUGAUUGUUAAGGAUUUAUUUACUGAUAUAUGAUGUAGUUCCUUUACCUGUUUUCUCUUCCUCUCUUU